rnacentral:rRNA from 1 species
CCUACGGGGUGCUGCAGUGAGGAAUAUUGGUCAAUGGGCUUACGCCUGAACCAGCCAAGUCGCGUGAGGGAAGACUGCCCUAUGGGUUGUAAACCUCUUUUGUCAGGGAGCAACGCCGGCUACGUGUAGCCGGACUGAGAGUACCUGCAGAAAAAGCAUCGGCUAACUCCGUGCCAGCAGCCGCGGUAAUACGGAGGAUGCGAGCGUUCUCCGGAUUGAUUGGGUUUAAAGGGUGCGUAGGCGGGAUGCCAAGUCAGCGGUAAAAUCGCGGGGCUCAACCUCGGUCCGCCGUGGAGAAUGGCGAGCUAGAGUGAGAGAGAAGGAAGCGGAAUGAGGAGUGGAGCGGUGAAAGGAGUAGAUAUAACGCAGAACUCCAA